GGCUACGGCCAUGUCACCCCGAACAAGCCAGAUCCCAUCUGAUCUCAGAUGCUAAGCAGGGUCGGGCCUGGUUAGUACUUAGAUGGGAGACCACCUAGGAAGACCAGGUGCUGUAGGUG
rnacentral:rRNA from 1 species